rnacentral:rRNA from 1 species
UGCGUAGGCGGUGCGGUAAGUCUGUUGUGAAAUCUCCGGGCUCAACUCGGAGCCUGCAACGGAAACUGCCGUGCUGGAGUAUGGGAGAGGUGAGUGGAAUUCCCGGUGUAGCGGUGAAAUGCGUAGAUAUCGGGAGGAACGCCUGUGGCGAAAGCGGCUCACUGGACCAUUACUGACGCUGAUGCACGAAAGCUAGGGGAGCAAACAGGAUUAGAUACCCUGGUAGUCCUAGCCCUAAACGAUGAUCGCUUGGUGUGACAGGUACCCAAUCCUGUUGUGCCGGAGCUAACGCGUUAAGCGAUCCGCCUGGGGAGUACGGUCGCAAGGCUGAA